rnacentral:rRNA from 1 species
AGAGUUUGAUCCUGGCUCAGGAUGAACGCUGGCGGCGCGCCUAACACAUGCAAGUCGAACGGCACCCACCCUCGGGUGGAAGCGAGUGGCGAACGGCUGAGUAACACGUGGAGAACCCGCCCCCUCCUCCGGGAUAGCCUCGGGAAACCGUGGGUAAUACCGGAUGACCCCGCAGGGCCGCAUGGCCCCGCGGGCAAAGCCCAGACGGGAGGGGAUGGCUCCGCGGCCCAUCAGGUAGACGGCGGGGUGACGGCCCACCGUGCCGACGACGGGUAGCCGGGUUGAGAGACCGACCGGCCAGAUUGGGACUGAGACACGGCCCAGACUCCUACGGGAGGCAGCAGUGGGGAAUCUUGCGCAAUGGGCGCAAGCCUGAUGCAGCAACGCCGCGUGAGCGAUGAAGGCCUUCGGGUCGUAAAGCUCUGUCCUCAAGGAAGAUAAUGACGGUACUUGAGGAGGAAGCCACGGCUAACUACGUGCCAGCAGCCGCGGUAAUACGUAGGUGGCGAGCGUUAUCCGGAUUUACUGGGCGUAAAGGGAGCGUAGGCGGAUGAUUAAGUGGGAUGUGAAAUACCCGGGCUCAACUUGGGUGCUGCAUUCCAAACUGGUUAUCUAGAGUGCAGGAGAGGAGAGUGGAAUUCCUAGUGUAGCGGUGAAAUGCGUAGAGAUUAGGAAGAACACCAGUGGCGAAGGCGACUCUCUGGACUGUAACUGACGCUGAGGCUCGAAAGCGUGGGGAGCAGACAGGAUUAGAUACCCUGGUAGUCCACGCCGUAAACGAUGAAUACUAGGUGUGGGGGUUUCAACACCUCCGUGCCGCCGCUAACGCAUUAAGUAUUCCGCCUGGGGAGUACGGUCGCAAGAUUAAAACUCAAAGGAAUUGACGGGGACCCGCACAAGUAGCGGAGCAUGUGGUUUAAUUCGAAGCAACGCGAAGAACCUUACCUACACUUGACAUCCCUUGCAUUACUCUUAAUCGAGGAAAUCCCUUCGGGGACAAGGUGACAGGUGGUGCAUGGUUGUCGUCAGCUCGUGUCGUGAGAUGUUGGGUUAAGUCCCGCAACGAGCGCAACCCUUGUCGUUAGUUACUACCAUUAAGUUGAGGACUCUAGCGAGACUGCCUGGGUUAACCAGGAGGAAGGUGGGGAUGACGUCAAAUCAUCAUGCCCCUUAUGUGUAGGGCUACACACGUGCUACAAUGGCUGGUACAGAGAGAUGCAAUACCGCGAGGUGGAGCCAAACUUAAAAACCAGUCUCAGUUCGGAUUGUAGGCUGAAACUCGCCUACAUGAAGCUGGAGUUACUAGUAAUCGCGAAUCAGAAUGUCGCGGUGAAUACGUUCCCGGGUCUUGCACACACCGCCCGUCA